rnacentral:rRNA from 1 species
GAAUAUUGGACAAUGGGCGCAAGCCUGAUCCAGCCAUGCCGCGUGAGUGAUGAAGGCCCUAGGGUUGUAAAGCUCUUUUGUGCGGGAAGAUAAUGACGUACCGCAAGAAUAAGCCCCGGCUAACUUCGUGCCAGCAGCCGCGGUAAUU